CUUGCCCUUAGAAGCUUUGCAGGUAUGACUGCUGUGUCACAUUGAUGUCAGUAGGUGGCAGAGAAGAGAAAGGCUUUGUCUAUGCUGUGUUCUGACGUGUGAGCAUUUGAAUGAUUAGCCUAAUAUU